UACGUAGGGUGCGAGCGUUAAUCGGAAUUACUGGGCGUAAAGCGUGCGCAGGCGGUUCGUUGUGUCCGUCGUGAAAGCCCCGGGCUUAACCUGGGAACUGCGAUGGAAACUAGCGAGCUGGAGUGUGGCAGAGGGGGGGUGGAAUUCCGCGUGUAGCAGUGAAAUGCGUAGAGAUGUGGAGGAACACCGAUGGCGAAGGCAGCCUCCUGGGCCAGCACUGACGCUCAUGCACGAAAGCGUGGGGAGCAAACAGG
rnacentral:rRNA from 1 species